UGGGGAAUCUUGCACAAUGGGGGAAACCCUGAUGCAGCGACGCCGCGUGAGCGAUGAAGCCCUUCGGGGUGUAAAGCUCUUUCGGCAGGAACGAUAAUGACGGUACCUGCAGAAGAAGCUGCGGCUAACUACGUGCCAGCAGCCGCGGUAAUACGUAGGCAGCGAGCGUUGUUCGGAAUUACUGGGCGUAAAGAGUGUGUAGGUGGUGUCGUAAGUUUGGUGUGAAAUCUCCCGGCUUAACUGGGAGGGUGCGCCGAAGACUGCGAUGCUGGAGUAUGGGAGAGGAAAGCGGAAUUCCUGGUGUAGCGGUGAAAUGCGUAGAUAUCAGGAGGAACACCUGCGGUGUAGACGGCUUUCUGGACCAUUACUGACACUGAGACACGAAAGCG
rnacentral:rRNA from 1 species